UAUCAAAGAAACACAAACUAGAGGCUCUAAAGAGGCUGUGUCGCUCACCUUGAUAUAUGUGAAUUAAACAAAGGAAGCAGACAGUUCAUGACAAAAUUGUGUUUAGGUGAUUGUGAUGUGUUUGUACAUCUUACUUUACUGAACAUUCUUGCUGCUUACAAUUAUCUCUAUCUAUAAUGAACUUGUCCGUGUAGUUUCAGUGGAAAAUGUUAGUAAAAAUUUACAAAUUUUAUGAAAAUUGUUAAAAAUUGAUUAUAUAGGACAAUAACUUCUCAGGGAUCAAUUGACCAUUUUGGUCAUUUUGACUUAUUUUUGAGUCUUAAAUUGCUGUACAUUAUUGCUAUUUACAGUUAAUCUCUAUCUAUAAUAAUAUUCAAG
rnacentral:lncRNA from 1 species